rnacentral:lncRNA from 1 species
AAUUAGUGCCCUUGAUCUGAACACUAGUAUGAUAGGCCGAGUAGUGCAAUGCUUAAUAGGACUCAGUAAAAGUUGAGUGAUUGACUGUCCCUCGCGAGUUAUAGGAGUACUAAUGGGCCUCAGACCAAGAGGCCCGUCAGGAACCUCUAUAAAUAGAGGGGUAGGGGCGCCCUAGGGUUUACACCUUUUGGCCAAAGCAUAGCCGCCACGCCUCCCACAC